rnacentral:lncRNA from 1 species
GGUGUGUGUUCUGGUCGAUGUUUACACAUAGCAAGAAAGGGGUUCCUUCUUUUGAACCCUAAACUCACUAUUUGAUCAAAAUCAGAGGGAAAACAAGCUAGGAAUUUGGGGCUUUUACUAAAUUCGCGAUCACCAAGACAAGGGGGUUGUAAGGUAUGUCGAAAAUUAUGAUAUGGUGAUAUUUUGGAAUUUUGAUAAUCAUGCAUGAAUGAAAUUCGUGUAUGAAAUUUAAUGUUUUAGAGAAAUUGGUGUGAGUAUAUGUCUAGGAACAAACCCUAGAUGCAAACUUGUAAAAUUGUGCCAUAAACUAGUGAUAGUCAAUUAAUCAAGUAUGAGCUAAGUGGGUUUUUGACUAAAUAGUAAAAAUGAUGAUAUGCAUGUGCUUAGAAUCAUCAUAAUUGAUGAUGAUUUGCAAAAGAUUUAUGAAAUUGAUGAUGUUAUACGAAUAAAUAGUGAGUAACUACUUCAAUUUCACCUAAAUAACCCUUGGUAGUGAAAGACUUGGGGUUUUGACUUUAUGGGUAUUAUGAAAUCCGAAAAUUUGAUGUUAUACAUGGCUUACAUCACAAAGUUGUCAAUUACUAGGGUGCUUAGAAUUGGUGAAAAUCCGAGUGAAAACUACAAGUUUUAAAGGGUUAAGGACCAUCUUGACAUGUUAAAGAAUCAUGUGUUAAAUGGUUGCACAUUAAGUGUUUGAUAAAAUGCCUACAUGAAACUUGAAUUGAUUCAAGUUUGUGUAAAAUAGUUUGAAAUUCGUCACUUUUGACAGCCUUAGAUAGUCAUCUUGUAAAGGCCGUAUCUCAUUCGUUAUUAGGAGUUAGACAACGAGCCUUAUAUGCUCAGAAAGCUAUUAAAACAUACUACGUUUUAUGUCUGAAUAUGUUUGUUAAAUUCUGAUGUUAAACGGGUCAAAACAGUGUCCGAAGUCGGCUGAACUGUUUUGACAGCAAGCUGAUUGGAAGCAUUUUGACUUCUGAGCUGAUUUUGCGAAAAUCAUAAUAAAUUCUAGGAAGCUCGGAUUGAUCUGAUUCUUUUUGCGCUGGAAAGAUAUUUUAGUAUUCUACAUUUCAUCUUUGAUCACGAAAGGCUAAAUAAAACCGUAAAGUGGUCAAAAGAGUCGAUUCAGUAGCUACAUUGUAAAGUUGCUGCACAUUGUAUUGAUAAACUUAUUCUAAGAAAAUUGUAUGCAAGAAAAGGAUGAAUUGUGAGAAAUGUGAUAAUGAUGGCAUUCUAAUAAAUUAGCUUGAGGCAAUGUGUCUAUUGUGGAAAUAUAAUUUGAUUGUAAGACUUGGUAAGAGGUAUGUCGUAGUAGCUUUUAUUCCAUACUUGAAUGGUGUUGUGUGUACCAUGUAAUUGCUUCAAACAAAUUUUAUGAAAAGGGGUGUAUUAAAGGCAUCUAAAAUACAUACAAAUGAUUUAUGCAAGUAAUAUGUACUUGUAUGCCAAACAUGUUCUAAGUUAGUGCACAGGUACAAACACAAGGACAGUUUAAACUAUUGUCUUGAUAAAUGAGUAUGUGUGAAUCCAUGAGAUGUUGUGGUCAUUUUAUAUAAUGACAAAUCUAACAAAUCUUGUGGGUAUUGUGUUAAGUUUGAUCCCGUCAAGCUAAGAGGGAGCUGGCAAGGAAUGGAUCAAACGGGUCAAGUGCAUAAGGAAAGCUCGAACGGACGCAAACUGUAAGUAAAACUUACACCCACUUGUAGUAUAUGUGUUUAUUUCAUAACGAUGAAUACAAUAAAGGAUUUGGUUUGAAUCAUGGGUUCCGACCCAAAACGAAAUGAGUCAGAACCAACAAAAAUGUUUUAAACCAUGAUUAAUGGUGAAAAAGGCAAAAUGGUAAAUUAGUCACGAAUUGGUUAAGAAUUAGUGAGUUUUUCUUAAAGUUACCUUAUAGCGUAACUAGUAAUGGAAAAUGGGUAAAAAUGGAAAUUUAGUCAAGUAUCGACUAAAGUAAAAUCAGUUUCAAAGGACACCCAUAGCGUGAGCCGAAUGAGUU